AUAGAUAGAUAGAUAGAUAGAUAGAUAGAUGGAUGGAUGGACGGACAAACAGACAGACAGAUGGAUGAUAGGGCAUUAAUUAGAUUGGUCUACAGGACAUGAGUUGGGUAGACCAACAAUGGCCAUCUGAACCUUGGAGAAGCAUCUCCUUUUGCUUGUUUGUUUGUUUUUUUGAGACAAGGUUUCUCUGUGUAACUUUGGAACCUGUCCUUUACUUUGUAGACCAGGAUAGUCUUGAACUCAUAGAGAUCUGCCUGCCUCCGCCUCCUGAGUGCUGGAGUUAAAGGUGAGCGCCAUCACUGCCUGGCCCCAGUAGCUUCUUAGUCCACGAGACUGGAUGAUUUAACACUAACAUUCUGAUCCCUGGAGAGUCACUGGUAUUAGCUACAAAACUUCCAGCAUCAGCAAGGAGCAGAUGAGACAGAAGCAGCGACAGAGUAUUUGCUCUGACCGUCGGGGUCUGACUGCAGGCAGGUAAGAGCGGGCCUGCUUUCCCCUCAGACCUCUUCAUAUCUAGGUGAUGCCCAUUCUGAGGGAGGCUGUUUCCCUCAGUUACUCCUUCCAGAAAACACCUUCACAGAGACUUGUCUCUUAAUUGAUCUCAGAUUCAAUCAGGCUGACAAACCAAAGGUAGCCCUCAUCGUGAUCAUACCUAGCAUUCUCUCUUCCUUUCUUAGGUCUGGAUUGAGAAUGCACAGUUAGAGCUACAGAGCUGGCUCAGUGGUUAAGGGAGCUUGCUUCUCUUACAGAGGCCUUGGGUUCAGUGCCCAGCACACACACUAAACAGAGCUACAGAGAUUGCUCAGUGGUUAAGGGAGCUUGCUUCUCUUACAGAGGCCUGGGACUCAGUGCCCAGCACACACACUGAACAACUCACAACCACCUUUAACUCCAGCUCAGGGGACUAAAGCCCUCUCUGGCUUCCUCAGGCACUUGUGCACACAUGCACAUACACAUCAAUAAAAUAAACCUUAAAAAAACGGAACAGUUGGACACUUGCUUUUCCAGCUUUCUCUGGGGUGGGGGUGGACAUGUGGCAAUGCUCCAACCAAUGAGGAGACAUUAGCGAUCUACUGCAGGUUUCUGGGGCAAUGUGAGCUUUCCGUUUUCCAUGUAGCUGUCUAGUUAGCAAUAUGUCGUCCAUCAACUCUUAUCCUACUUUCUGUACUCUAUCCCUUACACCCCCAGUCCAGCCACACCCUCUGGUCAUGGUUGCCUUUGCUGUGGAUUCAUGGGACCCACGGCAUUAGUUAGAAGCUAACAUUGUACCUGCUGGCCAUUAGGCUGUUUAUAUGACUGCUGCUGUCCUUGGGUCCAGCUUCUGCUGAGCAUUGCUGCCCUCACACCCUUGCUUAUCCCCUAGGUUCAUCUCAGGCUGUCAAAACUGUAUGGUGGUUAGUUAUAAGACAAAAGGGGGUGCUUCUAACUUGUGGCACUCGUUUAGAGGAUCCAUGUGACGAUAAGUUGAUCGUCGAUUUGACAGAAUUUAUAAUCACCCAUGAGACAAGUCUGUGCGGGAGUUUCUAGACUGGAUGAGUUGAAGUGGGAAGACCUAAUUAAAAGGUGAGCGACCCCACUCCAUGGCUGGGGUCUCAGACCAAAGAAAGAUGAAAAAGCAAAACAUCAGCAUCCAUCACUCCCCCUUUCUGACCGCAGACACAGUGUGGUGGCUGCCUCACCCUCCUAGUGCCCUGCCUUCCCUGCCGCCCACGAUGGACUACAGUCUAGUGGCAUUUCAUUUGUAUUUUAAUAAAUAAAGCUUGCCUGGGGAUCGGGAGAGUAAAACAGCCACACUGGCCAGCCUUGCAGACCAAGCAGCAAUGAUACACACCUUUAAUCCCAGUACCCACACCAGCUUGUCAUAGAAACCAGGCGGUAGUGGUGCACACUGGAGAGGAAUCUAAGAUAGAAGGAGACAAUUCUCAGUCUCAUUCUGAGAUUCCUGAAGGCAGGAUCGCCAUGUCAGACUGAGGUAGAGGUAAGAGCCAUGGCUGACUGUUUUGCUUUUCAGACCUUCAGGCUGAACCCCAGUUUCUCUCUCUGAGUUUUUAUUCAUCAUGCUUCACUACAACCUCUUGAACUUGGAGCCAGAAUAAACCCUUACUCCCUUAAGUUGCUUUUGCCAGAUAUUUGUGUCUAACAACAGUAAGAGUCACUAAUACAGUCACCAAGUGAGAACUGCUCAUCCCCCUCCAUCCCCCAGAUGGAGCAGCACCUUUGGGUAGGGACCCAGAUAUAAGAGGGUCUGAAGGGAAAACAGGGCUGCCUUAGCCUGUCUGCCUUCCAGGGAGGCCCUUCCCAUUUAAAGUCACAUUCUUUCUGUGGCCAGUGCCACUGGAGAGUGGUUGAAGCAGGUCUGAGGGAAGGAUCCCCAGCUAUAUAUAGAGUUAACUUUAUCUGAAAACAGUGGAACGGCUUGCAGUUCUUCUAACAAUUUAUUUUUUUAGUUAAUUGUGUAGACGUGUGUUUCUGAAUACAGGUAUGUGCACUUCUGAGCAGGUGCCCCUUCUAACAAUGUAUUUUUUAGUUAAUUGUGUAGGCGUGUGUCUCUGUAAACAGGUAUGUACACUCCUGUGCAGAUACCCCUUCUAACAAUCUAUUUUUUAAUUAACUGUGCAGAUGUGCACCUCUGAAUACAGGUAUGUGUGCUCCUAUGCAGGUGUCCCUGGAAGACAGAGACAUCAGAUUCCCUGGAACUGAGGUUACAGGUGGUUGUGAGUCACCCAGCAUGGGUGCUGAGAACUGAACUUGGGUCCUCUGGAAGAUCAGCAUGUGCCUUAACCACGGAGUCACCUGCCUCCUUACAGGCUCCUAUCUCUCCUAUCAAGAGACAGCUCUCAAGGCCUCCAGACAUAGAGUUCCCAGAGGGCAGGCAUAGAUUUGAAUGGGCUCUCCUGUUGCAAAUGUGUUUUAGAGAGGUUAUCAGCUAUUUUGAUCUCUAAACAAACAAAUCUUAAUACAUAUUCUUGGGCUGGAGCUGGAGGUCAUGGAGAGCCCUUGCCUCACACUGACAGUGCCUUACAGGCCGUCCUUAGUCUAACCAAAGACAAAAAUACAAACACUCCUUAAUAUAAGUAAAUACAAAGAAAGAGAAGACAAAGAAAAAGAAAACUUAUCCAUAACCCCAUGAAUUGCAAGUAAACACAAUGUUUUGAUUUUUUGUUUCAGUUUUUCAAGACAGGGUUUCUCACUGUAGCCCUGGCUAUCCUGGAACUUUCUCUGUAGUCCAGGUUAGCCUCAAACUCAAGAGAUCUGCUUGCCUCUGCCUCUCAAAGGCUGAUAUUAAAGGAACAUACCACCAUGCUCGAUUGUUUGCAUGUUUUAACUCAUCCACUGUUUGAUAUUUCUAAAUUCAUGCUAUUUAUACACUAUUAUGGCGUGCUUUCUGAAUGGCCUAUCACAAUCUCAGAAGCAAUUUCCCUUAAUACCAAAAAUUAUUUAUAAGCAAACUUCUAGUGGUUAUAUAAUUUCAAGUGUUUAUUUAGAUAUCACAGGAACCCAUUCAAAACUAGUGCAAUGUAGUUUUUUAAUAUUUAUUUUUACCUUGCUUUUCGGUGUUUUUCUUUUUAAAUGUGUAUAUUUGUGUUUGUGUGUAUGCCAUGUGUGUGCAGUUGCUCAUGGAGGCCAGAAGGGUGUGUUGCAUCUUUUGGAGCAGGAGUCACAAGUGAUUAUGAGCCACCUGCAGCCCCUAAUUUUAUCUUUAUCUAUGUGUGUGUUUAUACAUAUGCCACAUGGGUAAAAGGAUACAAGAGGGCAUUAGAUCCUCAGGAGCUGGAGAGUCAGACAGUUGUGAGAUACCUGACAAGGGUACUGGGAACAAAAUUUUGGUUACUCUGGAAGAGCAGAAAGUGCUCUAAAGCGCUGAGCUGUCUCUCUAACACUUAGAUUUCCAAAUGGAAAGAAAUUUGUUGUGUGAAUCGGGGAUAUUUUUCUGGAAACUAAAGACAGAAAUGUAGCCAGACCUCAGGGUUAAACUAGGAGGAGCUACUGAAAUAAGGUGUGAGGAAGCCAAGUGGUACCAAUUUGUAUCUAUUUAUUUCUCUGCCUCUCUAUCUCUCUUUUCACAUGUUGACUUUUGCAAAAUUACAUAUCAUUGGCCUCUCCUGAGCAUACGAAGCCAGGGAGUCCAGAAGGAAAUUGAUCUCUUGUCAUUCUGUCCGUAAGACAUACUGAUUGGACCAGUUUCAAUUAGGUGUUGACCCUGGUUGUUAGCAUGAGGAGAACCAGGAUAAUCUGUCUUUCCUAUUAAGUGGGAAAGAUGAAGCAGAUGAAGGCUUAACAUUGAGGGAGCCCCCAAACUACUGGGUACAGAAUACAUCUUGUCAGAAUACACGACAUUCCACCAUGUACCAAGCCGUUUUUGCCUAUUACGUUUUAAUCAGUGCGUUCAAGCUGAUACUGUAUUGGAAGCAAGGGCUGCUAUGUUGCCUCAUCCUGCCUCCCUAGAGCAUGCUAGUCCUGGGUCUUACACAGUCAGGGAGCUGACUUGUACUUACAUACCAAUGGCUUUCGGUGGAAUAAUGGAAAUGGCUCUCCUAGGUUAGCCAGGACCAGAUGGCAGGCCACCUUAGCCCCAAGCAGGGAGCUCCCUGCAUAGAACUCCCUUCUCUGGGCAAAGCUUCAACUUGUCCACAAUAUGAGAACUUUUUCAUUCAGUGGGGUUAAUGGCUGGUAAAUUUUCACAAAGGAGAGGAAAUACAUCUUCCCGUCAUGAAUAACCAGUCUGUUGCAGGGGUCCUUGUGGCGGAAAUAAGGCUUGGGUUUUGUAAGCGUUGGAUGGUUUUAAUGGUCAUUAAUGACAUUCAUAAUUAUGCAUGUGUCGAUUGCACAUUUUAUGGUCUGAGUAAAUUGCCUGCAGGGGUCAAGAAGGCAUAUUUCCUUAGGAUUACAUGAGUGGGAAGGUCCAUUAUCAGAGAGUUUUAUCUUCUUCUAAAGCAUUAAUUGUUGGUCACCGACUUGGCGGUACAAUCAGAAAUGAACCAAAACCUUGUGUAUUUAUGUGCUCCUGGGAGGGAUUCCCUUAGUCUCACCAGUUCACAAAGAGCCUUGAGGGAACUUGGGUCAGUGGUCCCUCCUGGGGUCUGGAGUUGAGGCUGCAUUACAUAACCAUCUGUGCUAUGCUGAUUUGUACACGUGAGCAGUGGGGUUAUUUCCUGCUUCAUUCAGGAAGGGUUUCUUCCAGGCCCCCACACCCUUAAAACUCCUUUCAGGGGCAAGAGGGAAUAAUAGAGAAGGAGGGAUAAGUGGGGAGAAGGAUGGGAGGUUGGACAGAGGGGAGACUUGUAGGAAGGGACAACUAACACUAUCUGAAAAUGCCAUUCUAUAAAGUUCCUCUGUGCACUCAUGUGCAUGUGUGCAAGCGUGUGUGUGUGUGUUUUAAAUGUUCAUAUAAAAGCGCACACUUGGAGUUACCCUUCACAGGGAAAAAUGCUCCUCUCAGAAGCCAUAGGUUAGCAAACGCAAAGCAAUGACAGGUGUAGUUUAUCUGCCCUUGGAUAACAAGAUAUCAAGGUCAGCGGUGUCCAGGAUUCCCACAAAACAGGAGGAGCUGCUGCCAGUGUUCUUGGUUGCCCAACAGAGUAUGACGGCAAGAUCUUAUCACUGAGGACAGUACAUUCUUUGGUCACAUGGAGAAAUCAAGUUGGCACUGACCAGGAAGCUCCCUCCUUGCUGACCAGUGUUCAUAGUACCAGAGGCUGCUGGGAGAGAAAGGUCACCAACAGUUUCACCUAGAUAUGAAAAUUAUGACUGUCAUGGCAAGACAAGUCCAUGGGUUCAAAAAUGGUAUGAGUGUUAUGCGGUCUCUUUGAUACUGCUCUAUUGCUUACAGUUUCAGAGGUGAGAGUCCAUGACCCGCAUGGCAACAGACCGGCAGGAAUGGCAUUGGAGCAGUGGCUGAAAGCUUAUGACAUGAUCCACAAGUUGGCAGCAGAGAAAGAGAGAGCCAGUGCUCUUAACUGCUGAGCCACCUCUCCAGUCCUAGGCAUCAUCAUCAUCACCAUCAUCAUCAUCAUCAUCAUAACAAUAAUAAUAAUUUGAAAACUUCCUGGUGAUUGUAUUGUGAAGCCAAGAUUGAAAGCCACCUUCCAAUUUCCUGAGGGGAGACCAGAAUGGUAGAGGAAGCGUGGCAACAGGAGGUGAUGCUGUAUGACAUGGCUCAGUCAGUGGGAAGAGGAAAAAGGACUCCAGAAAGCUGUUCUGACCUCUACGUACACUGAGGACCAAAUGCAGAUCACCAGGUUUGCCAGCAAGUGCCUUUACCUGCUGAGCCAUCUCAACACCUCAAUCUGGCAAAUUCUGUGUUUCGCUAGCGUAGGUCUACAAAAGGGACGCUCUUCAUUUACUGAUGACAUCUCGCAGGGCUCUCCUCAGAGAACGCAUUCAUAUGUGAUAUCUGCCCAGUGUAGCUUGUUCUGCAGUUCUGUGAGUCCAGAUUCCAGACUGGAAAAAGAUAUUACCAUGAACUCUCCCCAUCUUCCCAACCUUGCAUCUGCGUGGUUCUGGGAACUGACUAAUCCAUUCUGCAUUCACCCACUGGAGCACAGGCCAGAGCUGUCAAAACAAGAGGGCUGGUGAAGCAGCAGUGGUGAUGGGAGGCGGAGGAGCCCCAAGCACCAGUUCCUAGAAUGUCCUUGCUGGAGGCCAGGAGCCCAGGAGAGAG